rnacentral:rRNA from 1 species
UGACGGUACCUCUUGAAUAAGCUCCGGCUAACUACGUGCCAGCAGCCGCGGUAAUACGUAGGGAGCAAGCGUUAUCCGGAUUUACUGGGUGUAAAGGGCGUGUAGGCGGGACUGCAAGUCAGAUGUGAAAGCACGAGGCUCAACUUCGUGUCUGCAUUUGAAACUGUAGUUCUUGAGUGUUGGAGAGGCUAACGGAACUCCUAGUGUAGCGGUGAAAUGCGUAGAUAUUAGGAAGAACACCAGUGGCGAAGGCGGUUAGCUGGACAAUAACUGACGCUGAGGCGCGAAAGCGUGGGUAGCAAACAGGAUUAGAUACCCUG